UCGGAUGAUCGAUUCCCUAAUCGGACGGCUGAGGGCUUUACAGUCGGGCUUGACUUGACUGAGUUCGACUCGUUUCUUCGUUCACCAUGGCUGCUCCCUCCGUGUCGCUGGUGUGCUCUCUGCUGAUGGUCGCGCUGCUGGCGGGGCACGGUGGUGUACUGACACCGGUACACUCCCAACUUGUGGUCGAGUGUGGUAAAAUGUGCGGCGGCUUCGUGGGCUACGGGUGCGUGCCUGAGUGCCACUGCGUCUACUACCCGGGCGACUACGGCAUGUGUCUUCCGCACGGAAUGAACGAGUCCGACUUGCCUGGAUAUUACUUCCUCAACAUGACGAGAUUCCACUGAGUGGACACUGCUCUUUCAUCCGAAAACAAACUUUGUUCGACGAUAUCGUUUUGUCGUUCCUGCUCUAAUGUGUUUGCAUUUUCCGCAGUUUCCGCUUUGAAUAUAUACAACUUUGACCACCCUUU
rnacentral:lncRNA from 1 species